GCCAAUAAUAGCAAGGGGAGAGGGAAGGAGGGAAACCGGCGUCUAUGCACCUCCAAGUUCAAGAAAAGUGAUUGUAUUUUUAAACAUUACAUAGGUUUGUUGAAGGAAGAAAAAAACAACAUUUGAUCUAUAGUAUAAAAGAAAAUCCAUCAUAAAUUAGUCCCCCUUCUACAGCAACACCCUCAGAAUCCCAUCGACAAAUCUAGUAAUCCAGCAGCAAAAUAUGUGAAAGUACAAAAGUAAAGGAAUUCAUCAUUCUUCCGCAGCACUCGCGGCACUUAGGUCCACAUUGAGGUCAAGAACCUUUCCAGUUAUUUUUGUGUACAAAUUGAGCACAUCAUCUACAGUCGACUCAAAGUGAGUUGUUGCAUCAUAGCUAGUUGAAACAAAACAAUUGUCCAAGGUGCACUCAUUGACAGGUUCAGAUCGGUCAUAAGUUUCAUAGACGAUCUCAUCCACUGGCCCUAGAAGACUGACGCCUGGCUUCAGUUCAUUCUCUGGGUUAUCAGUUUCUGCCUCUGUUGAGACAAAUGCAAUGAAUUUCCCCUUUGGAGCAACAUUAUGAGUGUAAGAACAGCAGAACAGGUACAUAUCUGAUUUGCGACCCAAC
rnacentral:misc_RNA from 1 species